rnacentral:rRNA from 1 species
UACGAAGGGGGCUAGCGUUGCUCGGAAUCACUGGGCGUAAAGGGCGCGUAGGCGGCCGUUCAAGUCGGGGGUGAAAGCCUGUGGCUCAACCACAGAAUGGCCCUCGAUACUGGAUGGCUCGAGACCGGAAGAGGUUGGUGGAACUGCGAGUGUAGAGGUGAAAUUCGUAGAUAUUCGCAAGAACACCAGUGGCGAAGGCGGCCAACUGGUCCGGUUCUGACGCUGAGGCGCGAAAGCGUGGGGAGCAAACAGG